rnacentral:rRNA from 1 species
UACGAAGGUGGCAAGCGUUGUUCGGAUUUACUGGGCGUAAAGCGCGCGUAGGCGGCUUUGUAAGUUAGAGGUGAAAGCCCGGAGCUUAACUCCGGAAUUGCCUUUAAGACUGCAUCGCUAGAAUUGUGGAGAGGUAAGUGGAAUUCACGGUGUAGCAGUGAAAUGCGUAGAUAUCGUGAGGAACACCAGAGGCGAAGGCGGCUACCUGGACAAUUGCUGACACUCAGGCACGAAAGCGUGGGGAGCAAAAGGG